rnacentral:rRNA from 1 species
UACGGAGGGUGCAAGCGUUGCUCGGAAUUACUGGGCGUAAAGCGUACGCAGGCUGUUCGUUAAGUCGGGUGUGAAAUCCCCGGGCUUAACCUGGGAAUUGCAUUUCAAACUGGCCGACUAGAGUACGGUAGAGGGAGGUAGAAUUUCCUGUGUAGCGGUGAAAUGCGUAGAUAUAGGAAGGAAUACCAGUGGCGAAGGCGGCCUCCUGGAUCGAUACUGACGCUGAGGCGCGAAAGCGUGGGGAGCAAACAGG